UACGUAGGGGGCUAGCGUUGUCCGGAUUUAUUGGGCGUAAAGCGUCCGCAGGUGGCUAUGUAAGUCUGCUGUUAAAGAGUGAGGCUCAACCUCAUAAAAGCAGUGGAAACUACAUGGCUAGAGUGCGUUCGGGGCAGAGGGAAUUCCUGGUGUAGCGGUGAAAUGCGUAGAGAUCAGGAAGAACACCGGUGGCGAAAGCGCUCUGCUAGGCCGCAACUGACACUGAGGGACGAAAGCUAGGGGAGCGAAUGGG
rnacentral:rRNA from 1 species